AGAGUUUGAUCAUGGCUCAGGAUGAACGCUAGCUACAGGCUUAACACAUGCAAGUCGAGGGGAAACGAUAUUGGAAGCUUGCUUCCGAUAGGCGUCGACCGGCGCACGGGUGAGUAACGCGUAUCCAACCUGCCCACCACUUGGGGAUAACCUUGCGAAAGUAAGACUAAUACCCAAUGACGUCUCUAGAAGACAUCUGAAAGAGAUUAAAAGAUUUAUCGGUGAUGGAUGGGGAUGCGUCUGAUUAGCUUGUUGGCGGGGUAACGCCCACAAGGCUACGAUCAGUAGGGGUUCUGAGAGGAAGGUCCCCCCANAUUGGAACUGAGACACGGUCCAAACUCCUAGGGAGCA
rnacentral:rRNA from 1 species